CAACAGGGAUUGCCCUAGUAACGGCGAGUGAAGCGGCAACAGCUCAAAUUUGAAAUCUGGCUCCUCUGGUGCCCGAGUUGUAAUUUGCAGAGGGUGCUUUGGUGUUGGCUGUGGUCCAAGUUCCCUGGAACAGGACGUCGCAGAGGGUGAGAACCCCGUACGUGGCCGCCAGCCUUCGCCGUGUAAAGCCCCUUCGACGAGUCGAGUUGUUUGGGAAUGCAGCUCUAAAUGGGAGGUAAAUUCCUUCUAAAGCUAAAUAUUGGCCAGAGACCGAUAGCGCACAAGUAGAGUGAUCGAAAGAUGAAAAGCACUUUGGAAAGAGAGUGAAACAGCACGUGAAAUUGUUGAAAGGGAAGCGCUUGGAGCCAGACGUGCCCGCGGAUGCUCAGCCGGGGUUUUCCCCGGUGCACUCUUCCGCGGGCAGGCCAGCAUCAGUUUGGGCGGUCGGACAAAUGCCUGCUAAACGUACCUUCCUCCGGGAAGGACUUAUAGGGUAGGCGGCAUACGACCAGCCCGGACUGAGGACCGCGCAUCUGCUAGGAUGCUGGCGUAAUGGCUGUAAGCGGCCCGUCUUGAAACACGGACCAAGGAGUCUAACAUCUAUGCGAGUGUUUGGGUGUCAAGCCCCAGCGCGCAAUGAAAGUGAACGCAGGUGGGAACCCCUCGGGGUGCACCAUCGACCGAUCCUGAUGUCUUCGGAAGGAUUUGAGUAAGAGCAUAGCUGUUGGGACCCGAAAGAUGGUGAACUAUGCCUGAAUAGGGUGAAGCCAGAGGAAACUCUGGUGGAGGCUCGCAGCGGUUCUGACGUGCAAAUCGAUCGUCAAAUUUGGGCAUAGGGGCGAAAGACUAAUCGAACUAUCUAGUAGCUGGU
rnacentral:rRNA from 1 species